AGUCUAGUGGCAGACGGGUGAGUACCACUUGGGUGAUCUGCCUCCGAGAGGGAAAUAACCCCGAGAAAUCGGGGCUAAUGUCCCAUAAGACCACGGUUCUUCCUACGAAGAAUUGAGGCCAAAGCUCCGCAAGGGGCACUGGAGAUGAGCCCGAGGCCUAUCAGCUAGUUGGUGAGGUAAUGGCUCACCAAGGCUAAGACGGGUAGCCGGCCUGAAAGGGUGAUCGGCCACACUGGAACUGAGACACGGUCCAGACUCCUACGGGAGGCAGCAGUGGGGAAUUUUGGACAAUGGGGGCAACCCUGAUCCAGCAACGCCGCGUGAGGGAUGAAGGCCUUCGGGUCGUAAACCUCUUUUGUAGGGGACGAAUCUGUCCGUGAAUAACGGACAAUGACGGUACCCUGCGAAUAAGCCACGGCUAACUACGUGCCAGCAGCCGCGGUAAUACGUAGGUGGCAAGCGUUACUCGGAUUUACUAGGCGUAAAGCGCAGGUAGGUGGUUGGAUAAGUCCGUAAUGAAAUCUCCCGGCUUAACUGGGAGACGUUUGGGGAUACUGUCCGGCUCGAGUGUGGGAGAGGUGACUGGAAUUCCUGGUGUAGCGGUGAAAUGCGUAGAUAUCAGGAGGAACACCUAUGGCGAAAGCAGGUCACUGGCCCAAUACUGACGCUGAGCUGCGAAAGCUAGGGGAGCAAACAGGAUUAGAUACCCUGGUAGUCC
rnacentral:rRNA from 1 species